rnacentral:rRNA from 1 species
UACGUAGGGGGCAAGCGUUGUCCGGAUUUAUUGGGCGUAAAGAGCGUGUAGGCGGCCAUACAGGUCAGCUGUGAAAACUCGAGGCUCAACCUCGAGACGUCGGUUGAAACCGUAUGGCUAGAGUCCGGAAGAGGAGAGUGGAAUUCCCGGUGUAGCGGUGAAAUGCGCAGAUAUCGGGAAGAACACCGGUGGCGAAGGCGGGUCUCUGGGCCAUUACUGACGCUGAGGAGCGAAAGCGUGGGGAGCGAACAGG